CCUACGGGAGGCUGCAGUGGGGAAUAUUGGUCAAUGGGCGCAACUCUGACCCAGCAACGCCGCGUGCGGGAUGAAGGUCCUAUGGGUCGUAAACCGCUUUUAUAAGGGAAUAAAGUGCGUGACGUGUACCGUUUUGCAUGUACCGUAUGAAUAAGGCUCGGCUAACUCCGUGCCAGCAGCCGCGGUAAUACGGAAGGUCCGGGCGUUAUCCGGAUAUAUUGGGUUUAAGGGGUGCGCAGGCGGCCUUGUAAGGCAGCUGUGAAAGUCUCUGGCUCAACCAUAGCCUUGCAGUUGAAACUGGGGGGCUUGAGUACGUGUGAGGCAGGCGGAAUGCGUGGUGUAGCGGUGAAAUGCUUAGAUAUCACGCAGAACCCCGAUUGCGAAGGCAGCCUGC
rnacentral:rRNA from 1 species